AAGGGGCAGAAUUACUGUUCUGCAGUCUCAUUACAAAACACAACUUCUCUAAUGAAAGGCUGGCAGGGUAGUGGAAAGCAUUCUGGACUAAUAGUCGUCCUGCCAGAUUUCAACUCCAAUAGGUUGGAUUAGAUGCCCUAUCUCUUUUAUUUUUAAAAAAAUAUUAAUUACAGUUGAUUUACAAUGUUAUACCAAUUUCUGCUAUACAGAAAAAUGACUCAGUUUAUUUUCUUUUGUCGUUAUAUGUAUCUUGAUCUGGCAUUUUCCGCAUUAUAUCUAUUUUGGUUUAUUUCUCUUUUCCAUUAGUCUAAAAGUCACCUGAAGGCAGAAGCUAUGAGGAGACUUAUCUUUGUUUGCAGAUGACUGGUCCAAAGAAAAACACUCAGUUCUGAAUGAAUGAUGGAGCAGAGGCUCUAACCCAGGCUGUCUGGCUCAGAGAUCUCUUUCAUAAUAUUAAAAUGCUUUCACCCCAGAGGUCAGUGAAUUUUCCAAAGGUCUAUAAAAUAAUGACACACCUAUCCCCACACUCGAUCCCCUCCUAAAAUGUUCAUAUCUUGUCAGUGUGUUAACCCCAUCCACUUUAUAGUCCCACUGCUGCAAAUCAUAUUUCAGAAGUAAGAUUUCCCCCCUUGUGUUGAAACCUCAGCAUUUAUUAUGCUUCUCAUUCAGCAUCAGUGGAUUCUUGUAUAGAAACUAUGCCCCUGUGACACCUGGCAUAAUAUUUUCUAAAUGAAAGCAGGAAGGUUUAACUAUUUUUUUUUUAAUGUUCUAUUGCUUUCCAAAGUUUUUUCUGGAUGACUUUGAACAUUUACAGUAAAAUAGAUUAAACAGAAUGGGUGUAAAUAUUUGGGCUCAGGAAUAUGCAAGUUCAGAUAGGCAACAGAAAUAGAAAAUUCAAAAUUCAAAAUUAUAUAUACUAAUUAUACAGAAGCCAUAAGGUUCACAUGAUUGUUAUGACUGAGCUUAAAAAAAAAAAAAAUAUAUAUAUAUAUAUAUAUGUCUGUAUAUCUAUCUAUCCAUCUAUCUAUCUAUCAUCUCUAUUUUUCAGCCAUAAGGUUCACAUGAUUGUUAUGACUGAGCUUAAAAAAAUAUAUAUAUAUAUAUAUGUCUGUAUAUCUAUCUAUCCAUCUAUCUAUCUAUCUAUCUAUCAUCUCUAUUUUUCAG
rnacentral:lncRNA from 1 species